UACUCCUUGAAAACCUUGUCUUGUAAUUCAAACCACUUUCCUGUGGAUCAUCAAAAUUCUUGUUUCUCUGUGUUAAGCACACAGAAUAAAAAAUCAGGAUGAUGCCCCACAACAUUUGCCUAUGUAUUAGAAAGCCAUCAUGAGGUACAUGGAAGGAAAUUGUGAUCUAUCUGGCCCUAAGGGAAGAUGGAAAAAGAGAUAAAUGGAAAUAAAAGCUGUGAGCUGUUUCUGCUCCAAACUGUAAACAUCUUUGUGGUAUUUUUGGCAGAUGGAGUGGGUCUAUUUUGUUGGUUUUUGGUACUGAAGUCAUAAUUAAGAGGGUUGCUUGGGGCAUUCAUAUUGUGCCAGUAAAUGUGAAAUUCUUGGAACGGUGCAAGACAGACCAGAGGGAAAACAUUUGCCAAGAAUAUUUUCAUUAAUCAAGAAAGUCGGAGGUUCGAAGAUAAUCAGAUAUCAUCUUAGUUCAGACCACAAACAAUGCCAACUGGAGAUGCAGUGGUGUUAUUUCCUGAUCCUCCUGGGUAGUCUGAGGCUGCAUGCACACUACACUGACUGGCUCAGCCUGUGCCUACUCUAUGCCAGCAGGAGCGAGUUACCCAUUGAUCCCCGUUCUUGAUGGGGAUCGGGAAUUGCAAUUAUUCCCCAUGAAUGAGGAAUUCCCUGUAAGUGCGGGUCAUAAGCUUGAGUUGAUUAAGUCCUUGCCCUUUGUACACACAGUGAAGCCCAAUACUAUUACCAAUUGGAUGGUUUAGUGAGGCCCUCAGAUCGGCCCUGCAGGGGUCUGCACAUGGACCUGGCUGAGAGCUAAGAAGGAAAACUUGACUAUCUAGAGGAAGUAAAAGUCCCAACAAUGUUUCCCUAGGUGAACCUGAAGAAGGAUCAUUA
rfam:Cricetulus griseus cell line CHO-K1, whole genome shotgun sequence.